CAACCUCAACUCAUAUGGGACUACCCCCUGAAUUUAAGCAUAUUAAUUAGGGGAGGAAAAGAAACUAACAAGGAUUUUCUUAGUAGCGGCGAGCGAAAAGAAAUCAGUUCAGCACUAAGUCACUUUGUCUAUAUGGCAAAUGUGAGAUGCAGUGUAUGGAGCGUCAAUAUUCUAGUAUGAGAAAUUAACGAUUUAAGUCCUUCUUAAAUGAGGCCAUUUACCCAUAGAGGGUGCCAGGCCCGUAUAACGUUAAUGAUUACUAGAUGAUGUUUCCAAAGAGUCGUGUUGCUUGAUAGUGCAGCACUAAGUGGGUGGUAAACUCCAUCUAAAACUAAAUAUAACCAUGAGACCGAUAGUAAACAAGUACCGUGAGGGAAAGUUGAAAAGAACUCUGAAUAGAGAGUUAAACAGUACGUGAAACUGCUUAGAGGUUAAGCCCGAUGAACCUGAAUAUCCGUUAUGGAAAAUUCAUCAUUAGAAUUGUAAUAUUUAAACAAUAUUAUGAUAAUAGUGUGCAUUUUUUCCAUAUAAGGACAUUGUAAUCUAUUAGCAUACCAAAUUUAUCAUAAAAUAUAACUUAUAGUUUAUUCAAAUUAAUUUGCUUGCAUUUUAACACAGAAUAAAUGUUAUUAAUUUGAUAAAGUGCUGAUAGAUUUAUAUGAAUACAGUGCGUUAAUUUUUCGGAAUUAUAUAAUGGCAUAAUUAUCAUUGAUUUUUGUGUUUAUUAUAUGCACUUGUAGGAUUAACAAUGCGAAAGAUUCAGGAUACCUUCGGGACCCGUCUUGAAACACGGACCAAGGAGUCUAACAUAUGUGCAAGUUAUUGGGAUAUAAACCUAAUAGCGUAAUUAACUUGACUAAUAAUGGGAUUAGUUUUUUAACUAUUUAUAGCUAAUUAACACAAUCCCGGGGCGUUCUAUAUAGUUAUGUAUAAUGAUAUUUAUAUUAUUUAUGCCUCUAACUGGAACGUACCUUGAGCAUAUAUGCUGUGACCCGAAAGAUGGUGAACUAUACUUGAUCAGGUUGAAGUCAGGGGAAACCCUGAUGGAAGACCGAAACAGUUCUGACGUGCAAAUCGAUUGUCAGAAUUGAGUAUAGGGGCGAAAGACCAAUCGAACCAUCUAGUAGCUGGUUCCUUCCGAAGUUUCCCUCAGGAUAGCUGGUGCAUUUUAAUAUUAUAUAAAAUAAUCUUAUCUGGUAAAGCGAAUGAUUAGAGGCCUUAGGGUCGAAACGAUCUUAACCUAUUCUCAAACUUUAAAUGGGUAAGAACCUUAACUUUCUUGAUAUGAAGUUCAAGGUUAUGAUAUAAUGUGCCCAGUGGGCCACUUUUGGUAAGCAGAACUGGCGCUGUGGGAUGAACCAAACGUAAUGUUACGGUGCCCAAAUUAACAACUCAUGCAGAUACCAUGAAAGGCGUUGGUUGCUUAAAACAGCAGGACGGUGAUCAUGGAAGUCGAAAUCCGCUAAGGAGUGUGUAACAACUCACCUGCCGAAGCAACUAGCCCUUAAAAUGGAUGGCGCUUAAGUUGUAUACCUAUACAUUACCGCUAAAGUAGAUGAUUUAUAUUACUUGUAAUAUAAAUUUUGAAACUUUAGUGAGUAGGAAGGUACAAUGGUAUGCGUAGAAGUGUUUGGCGUAAGCCUGCAUGGAGCUGCCAUUGGUACAGAUCUUGGUGGUAGUAGCAAAUAAUCGAAGGAGACCUUGGAGGACUGAAGUGGAGAAGGGUUUCGUGUGAACAGUGGUUGAUCACGAGUUAGUCGGUCCUAAGUUCAAGGCGAAAGCCGAAAAUUUUCAAGUAAAAUACAAAUGCCAAACAAAUAUAUAUAUUAUAUAAAAUCUAGCUAAAUUAAUAUACUUGAAUAAUUUUGAACGAAAGGGAAUACGGUUCCAAUUCCGUAACCUGUUGAGUAUCCGUUUGUUAUUAAAUAUGGGCCUCGUGCUCAUCCUGGCAACAGGAACGACCAUAAAGAAGCCGUCGAGAGAUAUCGGAAGAGUUUUCUUUUCUGUUUUAUAGCCGUACUACCAUGGAAGUCUUUCGCAGAGAGAUAUGGUAGAUGGGCUAGAAGAGCAUGACAUAUACUGUUGUGUCGAUAUUUUCUCCUCGGACCUUGAAAAUUUAUGGUGGGGACACGCAAACUUCUCAACAGGCCGUACCAAUAUCCGCAGCUGGUCUCCAAGGUGAAGAGUCUCUAGUCGAUAGAAUAAUGUAGGUAAGGGAAGUCGGCAAAUUAGAUCCGUAACUUCGGGAUAAGGAUUGGCUCUGAAGAUUGAGAUAGUCGGGCUUGAUUGGGAAACAAUAACAUGGUUUAUGUGCUCGUUCUGGGUAAAUAGAGUUUCUAGCAUUUAUGUUAGUUACUUGUUCCCCGGAUAGUUUAGUUACGUAGCCAAUUGUGGAACUUUCUUGCUAAAAUUUUUAAGAAUACUAAUUGGGUUAAACCAAUUAGUUCUUAUUAAUUAUAACGAUUAUCAAUUAACAAUCAAUUCAGAACUGGCACGGACUUGGGGAAUCCGACUGUCUAAUUAAAACAAAGCAUUGUGAUGGCCCUAGCGGGUGUUGACACAAUGUGAUUUCUGCCCAGUGCUCUGAAUGUCAAAGUGAAGAAAUUCAAGUAAGCGCGGGUCAACGGCGGGAGUAACUAUGACUCUCUUAAGGUAGCCAAAUGCCUCGUCAUCUAAUUAGUGACGCGCAUGAAUGGAUUAACGAGAUUCCUACUGUCCCUAUCUACUAUCUAGCGAAACCACAGCCAAGGGAACGGGCUUGGAAUAAUUAGCGGGGAAAGAAGACCCUUUUGAGCUUGACUCUAAUCUGGCAGUGUAAGGAGACAUAAGAGGUGUAGAAUAAGUGGGAGAUAUUAGACCUCGGUUUGGUAUCGCCAAUGAAAUACCACUACUCUUAUUGUUUCCUUACUUACUUGAUUAAAUGGAACGUGUAUCAUUUCCUAGCCAUUAUACGGAUAUAUUUAUUAUAUCUUAUGGUAUUGGGUUUUGAUGCAAGCUUCUUGAUCAAAGUAUCACGAGUUUGUUAUAUAAUCGCAAACAAAUUCUUUAAUAAAACGGUGCAUUUAUGUAUUUUUGAUUUGAAAAUUUGGUAUAACUCCAAUUACUCAGGUAUGAUCCAAUUCAAGGACAUUGCCAGGUAGGGAGUUUGACUGGGGCGGUACAUCUCUCAAAUAAUAACGGAGGUGUCCCAAGGCCAGCUCAGUGCGGACAGAAACCACACAUAGAGCAAAAGGGCAAAUGCUGACUUGAUCUCGGUGUUCAGUACACACAGGGACAGCAAAAGCUCGGCCUAUCGAUCCUUUUGGUUUAAAGAGUUUUUAACAAGAGGUGUCAGAAAAGUUACCAUAGGGAUAACUGGCUUGUGGCGGCCAAGCGUUCAUAGCGACGUCGCUUUUUGAUCCUUCGAUGUCGGCUCUUCCUAUCAUUGUGAAGCAAAAUUCACCAAGCGUUGGAUUGUUCACCCAUGCAAGGGAACGUGAGCUGGGUUUAGACCGUCGUGAGACAGGUUAGUUUUACCCUACUAAUGACAAAACGUUGUUGCGACAGCAUUCCUGCGUAGUACGAGAGGAACCGCAGGUACGGACCAAUGGCACAAUACUUGUUCGAGCGAACAGUGGUAUGACGCUACGUCCGUUGGAUUAUGCCUGAACGCCUCUAAGGUCGUAUCCGUGCUGGACUGCAAUGAUAAAUAAGGGGCAAUUUGCAUUGUAUGGCUUCUAAACCAUUUAAAGUUUAUAAUUUACUUUUUAAACGACAAUGGAUGUGAUGCCAAUGUAAUUUGUAACAUAGUAAAUUGGGAGGAUCUUUGAUCACCUGAUGCCGCGCUAGUUACAUAUAAAAGCAUUAUUUAAUACAAUGACAAAGCCUAGAAUCAAUUGUAAACGACUUUUGUAACAGGCAAGGUGUUGUAAGUGGUUGAGCAGCUGCCAUACUGCGAUCCACUGAAGCUUAUCCUUUGCUUGAUGAUUCGA